UUGAUGGUCAGCAUCUACACAGCGGCCCACUACUGUCUGUAAUUCCAGUCUCGGGGCAUCUGACAGCUCUCUGGCCUCAGAAGGUACCAGGAACACACAUGGAACACAGCCAUACAUGCAGGCUUGCAGGGAGCAGAAGGAAGGAUGGGAGGAGGAUCUGUGGUUGUGCAGGAAAAGGAUUGCUGAGUAUGGUGGUUCUGUUUGAUGCUUUAAGGAAUUUCCCAUGCCAUUUUCCUUAAUUGCUGUGAGAAGAGGAACAAGGCACGAAGAGAGGGAAAAAGCCAAAAGACCCUACAACCAUUUGCUUCAUGAACCUCAUCUGGGAUAAAUCAAGAUCAGAAUGUCCGUUGUGGAAUAUUACUUUAACUACAUAAAAAUAUGUUACAUUUGUUUAUUCUGCAUUUGUUUAACAAUGUAAAGAUGUAUUAUGUUUGUUUGUGCUGCAUCUGUUUAAGUAUGUAAAGAUGUGUUGCUGGUUUAACUUUCCUGCCUAAGGAACCCUGUUGGACUAAUAAAAGGCCGAACAGCCAGUAGCUUAUCAUCAGAGGGACAGGCAGGACUAGUGGGCAGAGAGAAAAAAUGGGAGGGGGAAUCUAGGCUUGAAAGAACAAGGGAAAAAGAGAGAGAGAGAGUCAUCCAGGAUCAGCCAGCCAGUGUAAAGUAGGACAUAUAGAGUGAAAGAAAGUUAAAAAGCCCCAAGGCAAAAAUGUAGAUGAAGAGAAACAGGUUAAAUUAUGGUAUAAGAGCUAGUGGGACAAGCAUAAGAUGAGGCCUAGCAUUCAUAACUAAUAAUAUCUCUCUCUGUCUUUAUCUGGGAGCUGGUUGGUGGUCCAAAAGAAAGCCUGCUGUGAAUGGCGGAAUCCACUACCACCAGGCUUCGUUCAUGGAGUCCUCUGUGGUAGGGCUGAUGGUGCUAGUCUAUGUAUUCACCAGGCACCUCUUCGUCUCCCUGAAAGGGCUGGAGACAGCUUUGUUGAACACAAAAAAAAAAUCUGCUGGGCAAUCUAAAACAAAACAUAGGCCAAAGUAUAGGAAGAGGCAAUGGAAUAUCCGAGGAGAUGGGAGUAACUGAAUCUCAGUGAGCGGUGAACUUGGAAGCCCUGAGGGACUGUCCAUCAGGUCAGCUACUUAUAGAAAUUGUUGAGGCUGCUUGCUUUUGUCUCUCAAGAGCAUAACUUUCCGUUUUCUUCCACCAGGCAGCCAUCCAUGAUUGCUCCUUUAUGAACUGCCCUCCUCUGCACCCCAGGCCAUAUUCAAUUCUUUGAUUACCACAGGAACACCCCCCUAUGUUCCUUUCUAAACUUUGUGUCAAGAUGAAGAAGGACUUGAGAGUUGGACUUGGGGUGCCUCUGAUAUCAUGGGAGAUGAUUAAUAUUUCCAGUCACAGUGUUAAGGCUUUCCCUUUUUCUAACCUUACAGUGUUUGUCCAAUUUUGUCUUUUUGAUAAAGUAUUAUAUUUAUUUAUAUGGUGCAAUAUAUAAAAUCCACCAAUUUAACACAUAAAUGAACAUUUUUCAGUUUGCAUUUCAAGAAGAAGGUAUUUUGAUUUUAAGAUACCAUUUUAAACCUUACCAAAAAAUGUUCUUGGUCAAAAAUGAUAUAUGGGAUAAAACAUUUUAUUUUUUCCAUUUCUGUUUAAUCAUCACUCUUUUUACAGAGCAAAAAAAAUGAAAAUGAAGCCUUUCAAAUGCUGAUUUUAUUUAUAUGAAUUGUCUUUGUCUUAUGUUACAGAAACAAGGACACUUUAUUUUCAUUUUAAGAAGAGAUAUAAUUCAUUCUGUUUCUUUCUCUCAUAACAAACCCAUAUAUCAUUCAAGUUUGAAUUAAUGUAUUAUGGCAGGAAAAUUACUGUAGAUGCCAUAACUAUCAACAAGGAACUGAUUGGACUCUCUACUUAUCUGAGAAUAUUUAUUUCUGAUACAGACAUAUAUAUGUAUCUAUGUUAAUUUCAGCAAUUUUUUGUCAUACCCCAUGUAUGAAACAAUGGAAGCUGUGUGGGACUCUGGGAAGUUUGACAGUUGCAAAAGAAAAUACUCACAUAUUUUUGUGGAAAUAUGUCAUAACAUCUUUUCUUACUCUUUUCCCACCAUCCUCAAAUUCAUGGCCUUCAAAUGAAUUUGGUAAGAAAAUUAAGCAUGAAUUUGGUAAGAAAAAAAUAGACUUGUUUGUGGUAUUAUUUAAGUAAAAAUUCUGUGUAAUUAAGUAUAAUUUUCUUACAUAAAUCAACGUGUACAACAUAAAAUAUGUUUUGAACU